rnacentral:rRNA from 1 species
ACGGGUGAGUAAUGUCUGGGAAACUGCCUGAUGGAGGGGGAGUAACUACUGGAAACGGUAGCUAAUGCCGCAUAACGUCGCAAGACCAAAGAGGGGGACCUUCGGGCCUCUUGCCAUCAGAUGUGCCCAGAUGGGAUUAGCUAGUAGGUGGGGUAACGGCUCACCUAGGCGACGAUCCCUAGCUGGUCUGAGAGGAUGACCAGCCACACUGGAACUGAGACACGGUCCAGACUCCUACGGGAGGCAGCAUG